AAAAGACCAAGGGUUCCUGCGCAACGUUAAUCGACGCAGGGUUAGUCGGUUCCUAAGGCGAGGCUGAAAAGCGUAGUCGAUGGGAAACAGGUUAAUAUUCCUGUACUUCUGGUUACUGCGAUGGAGGGACGGAGAAGGCUAGGCCAGCUUGGCGUUGGUUGUCCAAGUUUAAGGUGGUAGGCUGAAAUCUUAGGUAAAUCCGGGGUUUCAAGGCCGAGAGCUGAUGACGAGUCGUCUUUUAGAUGACGAAGUGGUUGAUGCCAUGCUUCCAAGAAAAGCUUCUAAGCUUCAGGUAACCAGGAACCGUACCCCAAACCGACACAGGUGGUCGGGUAGAGAAUACCAAGGCGCUUGAGAGAACUCGGGUGAAGGAACUAGGCAAAAUGGCACCGUAACUUCGGGAGAAGGUGCGCCGGCUAGGGUGAAGGAUUUACUCCGUAAGCUCUGGCUGGUCGAAGAUACCAGGCCGCUGCGACUGUUUAUUAAAAACACAGCACUCUGCAAACACGAAAGUGGACGUAUAGGGUGUGACGCCUGCCCGGUGCCGGAAGGUUAAUUGAUGGGGUUAGCGCAAGCGAAGCUCUUGAUCGAAGCCCCGGUAAACGGCGGCCGUAACUAUAACGGUCCUAAGGUAGCGAAAUUCCUUGUCGGGUAAGUUCCGACCUGCACGAAUGGCGUAACGAUGGCGGCGCUGUCUCCACCCGAGACUCAGUGAAAUUGAAAUCGCUGUGAAGAUGCAGUGUAUCCGCGGCUAGACGGAAAGACCCCGUGAACCUUUACUGUAGCUUUGCACUGGACUUUGAGCCUGCUUGUGUAGGAUAGGUGGGAGGCUUUGGAGCGUGGACGCCAGUUCGCGUGGAGCCAUCCUUGAAAUACCACCCUGGCAUGCUUGAGGUUCUAACUCUGGUCCGUAAUCCGGAUCGAGGACAGUGUAUGGUGGGCAGUUUGACUGGGGCGGUCUCCUCCUAAAGAGUAACGGAGGAGUACGAAGGUGCGCUCAGACCGGUCGGAAAUCGGUCGCAGAGUAUAAAGGCAAAAGCGCGCUUGACUGCGAGACAGACACGUCGAGCAGGUACGAAAGUAGGUCUUAGUGAUCCGGUGGUUCUGUAUGGAAGGGCCAUCGCUCAACGGAUAAAAGGUACUCCGGGGAUAACAGGCUGAUACCGCCCAAGAGUUCAUAUCGACGGCGGUGUUUGGCACCUCGACGUCGGCUCAUCACAUCCUGGGGCUGAAGCCGGUCCCAAGGGUAUGGCUGUUCGCCAUUUAAAGUGGUACGCGAGCUGGGUUUAGAACGUCGUGAGACAGUUCGGUCCCUAUCUGCCGUGGACGUUUGAGAUUUGAGAGGGGCUGCUCCUAGUACGAGAGGACCGGAGUGGACGAACCUCUGGUGUUCCGGUUGUCACGCCAGUGGCAUUGCCGGGUAGCUAUGUUCGGAAAAGAUAACCGCUGAAAGCAUCUAAGCGGGAAACUUGCCUCAAGAUGAGAUCUCACUGGGAACUUGAUUCCCCUGAAGGGCCGUCGAAGACUACGACGUUGAUAGGCUGGGUGUGCAAGCGUUGUGAGGCGUUGAGCUAACCAGUACUAAUUGCCCGUGAGGCUUGACC
rnacentral:rRNA from 1 species